UCGAUGCGCGCUUAGCCAGGUGCCACAUGGUCGGAAGACCUUCCCCUUCUGGCCACUCCGCCGCUGACCCAAACCUCGUCUGGCAGAAUCACACCUCACCACAGUCUGCGGGCAUCUGCCCCCACCCUCUCCCCGUCCCCGUCCCCUACCCCCUCCCCUUGUCACGAGAAAAGAGCAGAGUGGAGAGGAGGGAGAUCGAGCGACCAGACUAGAUGAGGCAGCCGACAGCGACAAGGGAUUCUUUGACCUGGGUGCCCCUCCAUGGCGUGCGCUUCUACUUCGAUUCGUGCCCCCGACGCCAUGCCUGGUGCCCCCAAGGAAGGUGGAACCUCUAGAUGUGGCCACUGCGGUUGGGACAGAAGGAAGCACGAGCUUGCUCUAGCUGGGAGAGGGCAGGAGGAGGAAGCGCGGGUGGAGGUUCGUGAGGAAGAUUGCUAGGAAAUGGAGUUCUUCCGUGUCCGCUAUUUGCUCUUUGCUCGGUGCAUUCAUGUUGAAUCUAGCAAGACGAGCACAAGUUGGAGAGCUGCCGUUUCUUUGGUCGCGGUGCCACUGAUUUUUCAUCCAAAGUUGCACACUCUCCAGCAUAGUAAUGGAUGUAAUUAGGGAUGUCUUAUAUUCAGCUACUUUGUGUUUAAUUGAUUUGUAAUAUAGUCUAGUUGCACCAUAUAUUGAUGUUUAGUUGGCUUGUAAUGUAAUCUAGUUGCACAUACAUUGAUAUUUAGUUGGCAACAAGACUAGUUGCACACACAUUGAUGUUUAGUU